rnacentral:rRNA from 1 species
UACAGAGGUCCCGAGCGUUGUUCGGAUUCACUGGGCGUAAAGGGUGCGUAGGUGGCGAGGUAAGUCGGAUGUGAAAGCUCGGAGCUCAACUCCGAAAUGGCAUUGGAAACUACCUUGCUCGAGGGUUGGAGGGGGGACUGGAAUACUUGGUGUAGCAGUGAAAUGCGUAGAUAUCAAGUGGAACACCAGUGGCGAAGGCGAGUCCCUGGACAGAUAUUGACACUGAGGAACGAAAGCUAGGGGAGCAAACAGG